rnacentral:rRNA from 1 species
CAAACGGGAUUAGAGACCCCGGUAGUCCUGGCCGUAAACGAUGUUCACCAGACCUAUGAUAUUCAUACAUAUCAUGGGUUGAAGUUAACGCAUUAAGUGAACCGCCUGGGGAGUAUGCACGCAAGUGUGAAACUCAAAGGAAUUGACGGGGGCUCGCACAAGCGGUGGAGCAUGUGGUUUAACUCGAUGAUCAGCGAAGAACCUUACCUGGGCUUAAACUUGUAGUGACCGUCUGUGAAAGCAGAUUUCUCUUCGGAGCACUAUGAGAGGUGCUGCAUGGCUGUCGUCAGCUCGUGUCGUGAGAUGUUGGGUUAAGUCCCGCAACGAGCGCAACCCUUAUCCUAUGUUGCUACGAUCUUUUGAUCAGGACUCUUAGGAGACUGCCGAGGUUAACUCGGAGGAAGGCGAGGAUGACGUCAAGUCCUCAUGGCCCUUAUGUCCAGGGCUACACACGUGCUACAAUGGGAAGUAUAAAGAGCAGCGAAGUCGCGAGGCGGAGCGAAUCUCAAAAAACUUCUCUCAGUUCAGAUCGCAGUCUGCAACUCGACUGCGUGAAGCUGGAAUCGCUAGUAAUCGCGCAUCAGAAUGCCGCGGUGAAUACGUUCUCGAGCCUUGUACACACCGCCCGUCACACCACCCGAGCUUAUUUUACCUGAAGUCGCUGCGCUA